GACGAACGCUGGCGGCGUGCCUAACACAUGCAAGUCGAACGGGACUUGCCCCUUCGGGGACAAGUUUAGUGGCGAACGGGUGAGUAACGCGUGAGGAACCUGCCUUUCAGUGGGGGACAACAGUUGGAAACGACUGCUAAUACCGCAUAACACUUUGGGGUCGCAUGAUUCGGUGUGAAAAACUCCGGUGGUAUGAGAUGGACCCGCGUCUGAUUAGCCAGUUGGCAGGGUAACGGCCUACCAAAGCGACGAUCAGUAGCCGACCUGAGAGGGUGACCGGCCACAUUGGGACUGAGACACGGCCCAA
rnacentral:rRNA from 1 species